rnacentral:rRNA from 1 species
UACGGAGGGUGCGAGCGUUGUCCGGAAUCACUGGGCGUAAAGGGCGCGUAGGCGGCCUGAUAAGUAGGGGGUGAAAUCCUGCGGCUUAACCGCAGGGCUGCCUUCUAAACUGUCAGGCUGGGGCACAGUAGAGGCAGGUGGAAUUCCCGGUGUAGCGGUGGAAUGCGUAGAGAUCGGGAAGAACAUCAGUGGCGAAGGCGGCCUGCUGGGCUGUUGCUGACGCUGAGGCGCGACAGCGUGGGGAGCAAACAGG